rnacentral:rRNA from 1 species
GAUGAACGCUGGCGGCGUGCCUAAUACAUGCAAGUCGAGCGAACAGACGAGGAGCUCGCUCCUCUGACGUUAGUGGCGGACGGGUGAGUAACACGUGGAUAACCUACCUAUAAGACUGGGAUAACUUCGGGAAACCGGAGCUAAUACCGGAUAACAUGUUGAACCGCAUGGUUCAACAGUGAAAGACGGUCUUGCUGUCACUUAUAGAUGGAUCCGCGCCGCAUUAGCUAGUUGGUAAGGUAACGGCUUACCAAGGCAACGAUGCGUAGCCGACCUGAGAGGGUGAUCGGCCACACUGGAACUGAGACACGGUCCAGACUCCUACGGGAGGCAGCAGUAGGGAAUCUUCCGCAAUGGGCGAAAGCCUGACGGAGCAACGCCGCGUGAGUGAAGAAGGUCUUCGGAUCGUAAAACUCUGUUAUUAGGGAAGAACAAAUGUGUAAGUAACUAUGCACGUCUUGACGGUACCUAAUCAGAAAGCCACGGCUAACUACGUG